CCUACGGGUGGCAGCAGUGGGGAAUAUUGCGCAAUGGGCGAAAGCCUGACGCAGCGACGCCGCGUGAGGGAUGAAGGUCUUCGGAUCGUAAACCUCUGUCAGCAGGGAAGAACGGUCACUGUGCUAAUCAGCAGUGAAUUGACGGUACCUGCAAAGGAAGCACCGGCUAACUCCGUGCCAGCAGCCGCGGUAAUACGGAGGGUGCGAGCGUUAAUCGGAAUUACUGGGCGUAAAGCGCUCGUAGGCGGUAUGUCAAGUCAAGGGUGAAAUCCCCGCGCUCAACGUGGGAACUGCGUUUGAAACUGGCAAACUGGAGUGUGUGAGAGGAUAGAGGAAUUCCAGGUGUAGGAGUGAAAUGCGUAGAUAUCUGGAGGAACAUCAGUGGCGAAGGCGACUAUCUGGCACAUAACUGACGCUGAGGAGCGAAAGCGUGGGUAGCAAACAGGAUUAGAUACCCUUGUAGUC
rnacentral:rRNA from 1 species